CAUGCAAGUCGAACGAGCUUCCGUUGAAUGACGUGCUUGCACUGAUUUCAACAAUGAAGCGAGUGGCGAACUGGUGAGUAACACGUGGGGAAUCUGCCCAGAAGCAGGGGAUAACACUUGGAAACAGGUGCUAAUACCGUAUAACAACAAAAUCCGCAUGGAUUUUGUUUGAAAGGUGGCUUCGGCUAUCACUUCUGGAUGAUCCCGCGGCGUAUUAGUUAGUUGGUGAGGUAAAGGCCCACCAAGACGAUGAUACGUAGCCGACCUGAGAGGGUAAUCGGCCACAUUGGGACUGAGACACGGCCCAAACUCCUACGGGAGGCAGCAGUAGGGAAUCUUCCACAAUGGACGAAAGUCUGAUGGAGCAAUGCCGCGUGAGUGAAGAAGGGUUUCGGCUCGUAAAACUCUGUUGUUAAAGAAGAACACCUUUGAGAGUAACUGUUCAAGGGUUGACGGUAUUUAACCAGAAAGCCACGGCUAACUACGUGCCAACAGCCGCGGUAAUACGUAGGUGGCAAGCGUUGUCCGGAUUUAUUGGGCGUAAAGCGAGCGCAGGCGGUUUUUUAAGUCUGAUGUGAAAGCCUUCGGCUUAAUCGGAGAAGUGCAUCGGAAACUGGGAGAC
rnacentral:rRNA from 2 species